rnacentral:rRNA from 1 species
GUCGAACGAAGCACUUUUUUAGAUUUCCUUCGGGGAAGAAGAAAUUGUCACUGAGUGGCGGACGGGUGAGUAACGCGUGGGCAACCUGCCCCAUACAGGGGGAUAACAGCCGGAAACGGCUGCUAAAACCGCAUAAGCGCACAAGGGCCGCAUGGCCUGGUGUGAAAAACUCCGGUGGUAUGGGAUGGGCCCGCGUCUGAUUAGCUAGUUGGCGGGGGAGAGGCCCACCAAGGCGACGAUCAGUAGCCGACCUGAGAGGGUGGCCGGCCACAUUGGGACUGAGACACGGCCCAAACUCCUACGGGAGGCAGCAGUGGGGAAUAUUGCACAAUGGGGGAAACCCUGAUGCAGCGACGCCGCGUGAGCGAAGAAGUAUUUCGGUAUGUAAAGCUCUAUCAGCAGGGAAGAAAAAUGACGGUACCUGAGUAAGAAGCACCGGCUAAAUACGUGCCAGCAGCCGCGGUAAUACGUAUGGUGCAAGCGUUAUCCGGAUUUACUGGGUGUAAAGGGAGCGCAGGCGGUGCGGCNAGUCUGAUGUGAAAGCCCGGGGCUCAACNCCGGGACUGCAUUGGAAACUACCGAACUAGAGUGUCGGAGAGGUAAGUGGAAUUCCUAGUGUAGCGGUGAA